rnacentral:rRNA from 1 species
AAAGGUGAGCCAGUACAGGAUGGACCCGCGUCUGAUUAGCUAGUUGGUAAGGUAACGGCUUACCAAGGCGACGAUCAGUAGCCGACCUGAGAGGGUGAUCGGCCACAUUGGAACUGAGACACGGUCCAAACUCCUACGGGAGGCAGCAGUGGGGAAUAUUGCACAAUGGGCGAAAGCCUGAUGCAGCAACGCCGCGUGAGUGAUGAAGGCCUUCGGGUCGUAAAACUCUGUCCUCAAGGAAGAUAAUGACGGUACUUGAGGAGGAAGCCCCGGCUAACUACGUGCCAGCAGCCGCGGUAAUACGUAGGGGGCUAGCGUUAUCCGGAUUUACUGGGCGUAAAGGGUGCGUAGGCGGUCUUUCAAGUCAGGAGUGAAAGGCUACGGCUCAACCGUAGUAAGCUCUUGAAACUGGGAGACUUGAGUGCAGGAGAGGAGAGUGGAAUUCCUAGUGUAGCGGUGAAAUGCGUAGAUAUUAGGAGGAACACCAGUUGCGAAGGCGGCUCUCUGGACUGUAACUGACGCUGAGGCACGAAAGCGUGGGGAGCAAACAGGAUUAGAUACCCUGGUAGUCCACGCUGUAAACGAUGAGUACUAGGUGU